AUGCAACUGACGAGUUGCAAAUAGGACGAAACACGCGUCCUGAAU
rnacentral:hammerhead_ribozyme from 1 species